rnacentral:rRNA from 1 species
UACGAAGGGGGCUAGCGUUGCUCGGAAUUACUGGGCGUAAAGCGCACGUAGGCGGCUUGUUAAGUCGGGGGUGAAAUCCUGGAGCUCAACUCCAGAACUGCCUUCGAUACUGGCGAGCUCGAGUUCGGGAGAGGUGAGUGGAACUGCGAGUGUAGAGGUGAAAUUCGUAGAUAUUCGGCAAGAACACCAGUGGCGAAGGCGGCUCACUGGCCCGGUACUGACGCUGAGGUGCGAAAGCGUGGGGAGCAAACAGG